ensembl:lncRNA
GCGCGCGCGCGCGAGUGUGUGUGUACUCACAGCAGUACACUGUCUCAAUAGACAGGACUGUUUCAUGCGUCCCGGUCCCCCGAACUUCUUCAUGUCCUUGCAGAAGUGACACUCUCCACACUCGGAGCGCAUACAGGCCUGACAGCGCCGGCAACGGGUACGGCGCCGCCUCGCCCCCCCCCAGAGCCUUACUGCCCGACAUCACCUCUACACUCUGAACACACACACACACAGGAGAGAAACAUGGGCGUAAGCACGGAUAUAUUACGAUUAUAAUAAUAAUAAUAAUAAUAAUAAUAAUAAUAAUAAAUUUACAACAGAUAUAAAAGUUUACAAGUUAAAUCACCUCAGAUCUUUUUCCACUUUUAAUGUGAAAUAGCAACUAAAAUGUUUUAGGGGAAAACGUACAGUAACCUGGAUGAAUAACAGACGUGUUAAACAUAAAACACAGAACCUUCUGUAUCAGAUCACCCGAGUAUUAUGCGAACAAAAGCACAGGAACAGAGCGGUCCUGAAGUAAAUGAGAGUAAAUAACACUUGAUAUUCAGUUGCGUAUCUGUUACUCGCAGUAACUGCAUCACUCCUGCGACUCACUGACACCAAACUGCUGUUUCUUCUUCUGUGAAGCUUCUCCAGGUUUCUACUGCAGCCUCUUGCAGUAGUUGUGUAUUUCGGGGGUGUUCUCCCUUCAGUUGGGUGAAGGUCUGGUGAUGGACUUGUCCAGUCUAACACCUUCCACUUUCCCCCUGAUGAAGUCCUGUGUUGAGGUGGAAGUGUGUUUUGGAUCGUUGUCUUGCUGCAUGAUGAAGUUAAAAGACAGGAUGUUCCUGUAAAGUUCUGAAUUCACUCUGCUGCUCCAUCAUGAGUUCAUCAUCAAUAAAGAUCAGUGAGAAUGUUCCAGAAGCAGACAUGCAAGCCAUGACGCUACCUCCACCAUGUUUCACAGAUCAGCUCGUAUGUUCUGGAUCAUGAUCAGAUCCUUUCUUUCUCCACACUUUGGUCUUUCCAUCACUUUGGUAGAGGUUCAUGUCGGUUCAGGACGUUUGUGGAUCAUCUCUGUAUUUCUUUGUGAAUUCCAGUCUGGAUUUCUGACUCUUACUGCUGAUGAGUGGUUUACAUCUUGUGGUAUGUCCUCUAUAUUUCUGCUCUCCAAGUCUUCUUUGGUGGAUGGUGAGACCUUCACCCUGCCCUGUGGAGGUUGUUGGUGAUGUCACUGACUGUUGUUUUGGGUUUUUCUUCACAGCUCUCACAGUGUUGGUCAUCAGCUGUUGUUGUUUUCCCUGGCCGACCCGUUCGGCGUCUGUUCCUCAGCACACCAGCGGUUUCUUUCUUUUUCAGGACAUUCCAGAUUGUUGUACUGGUUAUACCCAAUGUCUGUGCAGUGCCUCUGAAUGAUUUUCCCUCUUUUCAUCAGGUUCAAAAUGGCUCGCUCUUCUCCCAUAGACAGCUCUCUGAUCGUCAUGUUGGUUUGUCCUUUUUAACAACAAAUGCAGUCUUCACAGGUGAAACUGAAGGUUAAAACCAUGAGUAGAUGUUCAGAGCUAUUUACUGUUUAAACAAUCUAUCUGGACACACCUGGGGAGCAAGAAACACCUGGCAGCCCUGUGUUCCAAUCGGUACCAUGUUCUAAAGUGUUUAACACGUCCAGAUGUAAAUAUGAGGAAAUGAAAGCUGAAAUUCUGAUCCAUCGUCUAAUAUUAAUCUUUUGAUCUCAAACACAAACGUCUUCAGCGUAUAGCUAAACAUAAACACAAAAGAACUGGCCUUACUGUUCCAAUACUUUCAGAGGGGACUGUGAGGACAGCACUACUCGCCCUCGUCAGACCGAGUCCGACACACACAGUAUGUCCCUCCCAUCCAGACCGCACACACUUUCCUUCUCUAGGUUUCUGUUUCUUGAAUGUUGUUGGUUGCUAUUUCACAUUAAACAUGGAGGAAAAAAACAGAUCUGACAAUUUAUCUUAGUUAAAUUUUUUAUAAUCACAAAAACCUGCUAUUUUAAGAGGGGUGUGUAAACUUUUAUAUCCAAUGUGUCCAAAAAGUCAGGAACCAAUGAGAGUACCGAGAACUACCAAGAAGCACCAUCUCUACCCUUUCAUUCAUUAAUGCCAUUUUUCACCUGUAAGAAAAAAAUAAAUAUAAAAAUAAGUAAAUAAAUAAUAAAUGCAAUAAUCACAUGUAUGUGCAGUUUAAACUCCCGUGGGUUCCGGACUUUUCAGGACAACGUCUCAGCACAGACCGAUAUUAACAGACUCGCGUAUAAUUAAAAAAUACUCAUUUAUAAAUACUAACACUGAAAGAUCAUAAAACACUUUACAUUUUUAAAAUUAAUUAGAAAGAUUUAACUUCACACCCAGUCUGUAACUACUGACAGCCUUUCACUUAAAAAAAAAGGUAUCACAACAUCACAGGAAAGUGGUUAGGGGUUCAAAUUUAGAGAUUAGGGUUAGGGGUUAAGGGUGAAUGGUUAGGGUUAAGGGCUUAGGAGAUAGCUGAAUGGGGUUAAGGGCUAUGGUUUAAGGUUUAGGGAUUAAGGGUUAAGCGCUACAGGUUAAGGGUUACAGAUUAGGGUGUGGGGUUAAGGGUUACAGAUUAGGGUGUGGGGUUAAGGGUUAAUGAGAUAGAUAGUGUUGAUUAGCUGUGUUAAUAACUAUGAUGUCAGCAGGAAGUCCUCAUAUGGAUGGUAAGGCAAAUGAGUGUUACAGUGGAUGUUUCAUGCAGAGAGAAGUGAAAAUAAAUAAAGAGUGUGUGAGUGUGAGAGAGAGAGAAAGAGAAAGAGCUGAGUCAUAGAGCAGAGUGUGAAACGGCCACAUCGCUGCUAUUCUUUUUUAAAAUUCUUUCUGUAUCCUCAACGUUAAUGAUUAUAAUUUCUGUCUGUCUGUCUGUCUGUCUGUGUGUGUGUGUGUGUGUGCGCGCACGUGUUAAUCAGGUAUAACUUCUGUUGAUAUUACAUUCUUCUAAACCUUAUCAUUUUGUUCAGUGAAUUAUUACUUAUUAUAAUUCAACCAAGCUGUAUUUAAAUUUUUGUCCAUAAUGACAGGACUGUUAGAACACACACAGAUUCGUCUCGUUGGAUAAAAUUCUGCACAUACGCACACAGCCUCAGUCUGAGCCCAGUGUAAAGAGCUGUGAUAAAUCAUAACAGUAGGUAUGUACACACACACACACACACUCUUCACAUACUUCCUGUUACACGUCUGACCAAUCAGCACGGAGUCUAUGAGCAGAGCAGCAGGGGAGGGGGCACUUACUUUUGGACAUUAUCUAUAGACUGGGCAUGGGAGUUCACCUCGUUUCUCCUGUACGACACGUUAACCACUGAAGUGUCACUAGCUAGCAUGAGCACAGGGUUAAACUGUAAUACCUGCUGCUGAUUGGAUGUAGGUGUGGUUAUGUUUAUGGGCGGAGUCAGAUGUCAGACGACAGCAUGACACUCUGCACACUGACAGACGACUAGCGCUCUGGAUGUGAAGUGAACAUCAUGAGGAGUUUCUCCUACAUCUCUCAAUCUCUGAAGCCCCGCCCCCUGAGCGCUCCUAUUGGCUGAGCAUCACUGCACCUAUUAAAGCGGGAUCUCAGGUGUGUGUUUUAUCCGUCUACAGGCUGGAUUUAUUGCUUUUAAAUGCUGGUUUUUCAUUCAGAGAACAAUAUGAAAUCAUUUAUUACACACACAAAGCAUCUUUAAUUCCAUAAUAUACACAUUUUAUAAAUAAUUUACUAAUAAUAUAUUUAACAAGUGUGACUGAGGUUCACACUGAUAUUACCGCCCCAUUUUACUUAUUUAUAUUUAUCUGACUGUUCUAUCGGAGUCUUCAUGAUUAGUUUUUUUAAAACACUAAAAUGAGAAAUAAAUCUAAUUAGAUGUUUUUAAAUACUUUUUUAAAGUACAUGAAUUAAUCUAAUCUAAUCACGUGACAGCUGUGUUUAAUAAAAAAUAAAUUCCUAAAUAUUUAAUUUUCCAUUUUAUAAACACAUCAUCUGGUCUGACGAGCUGGUGGGUUAAAAGCCCUGUUUUUAGUUUGUUAUUUAUUUAUUUAUUAAAGCUAGUUGUUUUGUGUGAAUUAGCACCGAGUCACGUGAUCAGAAACAGAUUCUGCAUUUUAAUCAGCAGGUUGUAGAACAGGGAGAUCACUACUGCCAUUAUUAAAUAAUGUUCAACACUGAGUCUAGAUAUCUCAGGGGACAGCGAGGGGACAGCGAGGGGACGCUAUGGUAUAUGGUGAUAUUAAUAUUACCAUCGUAAAGUGACACUUUACCCAGCACUACAGUCUGCACACACACACACACACACACACACACACACACACACACACACACUUCUCCUGCACAAGCAGAACACACACUGAAUCAGACAUGGAAAUGAAACGAGGAAGAGGAACAGAAAACAAACACACUACAUCUACACUGGGUUUUAAAAACAGACAUUAUGUUACAGUGUUCAGGUGAAGACUCUCACAACACUAACUUACCACCUCAGUUAAUCAUCAUCAUCAUCAUCAUAAUAAUAAUAAUAAUAAUAAUAAUAAUAAUAAUAAUAAUAAUGAUGGCGAUAAUAAUAAUAAUAAUGAUAAUGAUAAUAAUAAUAAAUUAUUCAGUUAUAAUCCGAGUUAAAAUGCAAAAUCUGCUUUGUUUUACAUGUGUAUAAAGUCGAGUUCAUUAUACGUUACUUUAUUUAUUAAACCUGUCUAAUUUUCCUCCUCAGUGUCAAAUCUGCAAAUUCUCCUUCAUUUAUUUUAAACCCUCAUAUUAAUCAACACAUUCACUCAGACAUUAAUUAUUGUUAUUUUAUUUACCACUUUCCUGAUGUUUCUGCUUUUCCUCGUUAGUUCAUUAAUUAAUUCGUCCUCAUUUUUAAAAACACCAAAAUAAAAAUAUAUACUAAUAUUUUUAAAAAUUCAUUUUACAAAACACUUCAAUUAACUGGACAUGAUUCACUGAGUCUUAUUCAUGGAUUUUUAUUAUUAAGCACUUAUCUAACACACACACACACACACACACACAUACAUAU